GAAGGUGGUGUCUGGUGAGGACUUGAGGGAACAGUUAGUAAACUUUGCAAUUGAAACUAACUGGCUCUCCAAGUCUCAUUGCAUCCCACCACG
rnacentral:pre_miRNA from 1 species